UACGUAGGGUGCGAGCGUUAAUCGGAAUUACUGGGCGUAAAGCGUGCGCAGGCGGUUUUGUAAGUCAGAUGUGAAAUCCCCCGGGCUCAACCUGGGAACUGCGUUUGAAACUACAAGGCUAGAGUGUGGCAGAGGGGGGUGGAAUUCCACGUGUAGCAGUGAAAUGCGUAGAGAUGUGGAGGAACACCGAUGGCGAAGGCAGCCCCCUGGGUUAACACUGACGCUCAGGCACGAAAGCGUGGGGAGCAAACAGG
rnacentral:rRNA from 1 species